GGAGUUAGCCGGUGCUUCUUCUGUGAGUGAUGUCCUUCCUGCCGGCUAUUAACCCGCAGGCCUUCUUCCUCACUGAAAGUGCUUUACAACCCGAAGGCCUUCUUCACACACGCGGCAUGGCUGGAUCAGGGUUGCCCCCAUUGUCCAAUAUUCCCCACUGCUGCCUCCCGUAGGAGUCUGGGCCGUGUCUCAGUCCCAGUGUGGCUGAUCAUCCUCUCAGACCAGCUACGGAUCGUCGCCUUGGUGAGCCGUUACCUCACCAACCAGCUAAUCCGACAUAGGCUCAUCCGAUAGCGCGAGGCCCGAAGGUCCCCCGCUUUCCCCCGUAGGGCGUAUGCGGUAUUAGCCUGGGUUUCCCCCAGGUUAUCCCCCACUACCGGGCAGAUUCCUAUGCAUUACUCACCCGUCCGCCGCUCGCCACCAGGGAGCAAGCUCCCCGUGCUGCCGCUCGACUUGCAUGUGUUAGGCCUGCCGCCAGCGUUCAAUCUGAGCANGAUACAACUACUGA
rnacentral:rRNA from 1 species